rnacentral:tRNA from 1 species
UGUUUUGUCAUUAUUAAAUUAAUCUUUACUUAAACUUGACAAGUUUAUAUUAUAAAACUC